rnacentral:rRNA from 1 species
UACAGGAGGGGGCAAGCGUUUGUUCGGAAUUACUGGGCGUAAAGAGCUCGUAGGUGGUUUGUCGCGUUGUUCGUGAAAACUCACAGCUCAACUGUGGGCGUGCGGGCGAUACGGGCAGACUUGAGUACUGCAGGGGAGACUGGAAUUCCUGGUGUAGCGGUGGAAUGCGCAGAUAUCAGGAGGAACACCGGUGGCGAAGGCGGGUCUCUGGGCAGUAACUGACGCUGAGGAGCGAAAGCGUGGGGAGCGAACAGG